AUUGAACGCUGGCGGUAUGCUUAACACAUGCAAGUCGAACGGUAACAGGAAACAGCUUGCUGUUUCGCUGUCGAGUGGCGGACGGGUGGGUAAUGUCUGGGAAACUGCCUGAUGGAGGGGGAUAACUACUGGAAACGGUAGCUAAUACCGCAUAACGUCGCAAGACCAAAGAGGGGGACCUUCGGGCCUCUUGCCAUCGGAUGUGCCCGGAUGGGAUUAGCUAGUAGGUGGGGUAACGGCUCACCUAGGCGACGAUCACUAGCUGGUCUGAGAGGAUGACCAGCCACACUGGAACUGAGACACGGUCCAGACUCCUACGGGAGGCAGCAGUGGGGAAUAUUGCACAAUGGGCGCAAGCCUGAUGCAGCCAUGCCGCGUGUAUGAAGAAGGCCUUCGGGUUGUAAAGUACUUUCAGCGGGGAGGAAGGGAGUAAAGUUAAUACCUUUGCUCAUUGACGUUACCCGCAGAAGAAGCACCGGCUAACUCCGUGCCAGCCGCCGCCGUAA
rnacentral:rRNA from 1 species